UACGUAGGGUGCGAGCGUUAAUCGGAAUUACUGGGCGUAAAGUGUGCGCAGGCGGCCGAGCAAGUCGAGUGUGAAAGCCCCGAGCUUAACUUGGGAACUGCGCUCGAAACUACUUGGCUAGAGUGUGGCAGAGGGAGGUGGAAUUCCACGUGUAGCGGUGAAAUGCGUAGAUAUCUGGAGGAAUACCAGUGGCGAAAGCGGCUUCCUGGACCAGCACCGACGUUCAGGCACGAAAGCGUGGGGAGCAAACAGG
rnacentral:rRNA from 1 species